AUUCUGAUAGCUCAGUUGGUUAGAGCAUGGUUCUCAUAACACCAAGGUUGCAGGUUCGAUCCCCAUAUGGGACA